rnacentral:lncRNA from 1 species
UGGGGAUAUCGUUGCUGAAGUAGUGUGGGGAGGCCAGUGCCUGAGGGCCACGAGCUAUAGGUAACUGCAUCUUGCAUCCACCUCAGAUUUCCAAACUCGUGGCCCAUUAUUGCGGUGGUGCUCGCUCUCCACAACUGCAGAUCCACUGCAUUCACUUUUUGAGCAGGUUGUAGAUAUCCACAUUGCAAAAGUUAAGUUUGUG